UUAAAUCUUUUUCAAUGAAUCAGACAAAAUCCAACCUUCGGCAUAAAGGCGGCGCCACGACCGCGGCGCCGAAGCACAGGUUUAAGUUCCACAGGUUUGAGGGGUUGAAGGCCCAAAUGGGCCAUUCAAUAAUGAUCCCUCCGCAGGUUCACCUACGGAGA
rnacentral:misc_RNA from 1 species